UCUCAUGAAUGAGCAAACAAAGUGGUUUCUUGAAACAGAAUCUACUGCUGGUAUAGAUGCUGUGAA
rnacentral:pre_miRNA from 2 species